rnacentral:misc_RNA from 1 species
UCCGGCUUGACGCCGGCAGUCCCCCGAGAGUCCUCAGCAUGACCUGUUAGUAACACGGGGCGAGGGUUGCGCUCGUUGCGGGACUUAACCCAACAUCUCACGACACGAGCUGACGACAGCCAUGCAGCACCUGUGCUGGUGUUCCGAAGAAGGGCCCGACUUUCGUCAGGCUUUCACCAGCAUGUCAAGGGUUGGUAAGGUUCUGCGCGUUGCUUCGAAUUAAACCACAUGCUCCGCUGCUUGUGCGGGUCCCCGUCAAUUCCUUUGAGUUUUAGCCUUGCGGCCGUACUCCCCAGGCGGGGCACUUAAUGCGUUAGCUCCGGCACGGGAGGAGUCGACACCUCCCACACCUAGUGCCCAUCGUUUACGGCGUGGACUAC